GCCUUGGUGGUGUAAUGAUAUAGCACUCGCCCCCUGUAUGGAUGAAACACGGGUUCGAUUCUUGGCUGAGGCC